GCCUUCGUGGUGUAAUGGUCAGCACACUGAGCCGGUAUUUCAGAGGUCCGUGGUUCGAUCCCCGGCGAAGACC
rfam:Stegodyphus mimosarum contig110950, whole genome shotgun sequence.